rnacentral:rRNA from 1 species
GACGGGGGGGGCAAGUGUUCUUCGGAAUGACUGGGCGUAAAGGGCACGUAGGCGGUGAAUCGGGUUGAAAGUGAAAGUCGCCAAAAAGUGGCGGAAUGCUCUCGAAACCAAUUCACUUGAGUGAGACAGAGGAGAGUGGAAUUUCGUGUGUAGGGGUGAAAUCCGUAAAUAUACGAAGGAACGCCAAAAGCGAAGGACAGCUCGUCUGGGUCCCUACCCGACGCUGGGGUGCGAAAGCAUGGGGAGCGAACAGG